rnacentral:misc_RNA from 1 species
GUGAAUCAUCGAAUCUUUGAACGCAAAUUGCACUCUCUGGUAUUCCGGGGAGUAUGCUUGCUUGAGGGUUAGUUUAUUACAAAUCGUAAAAAGAAAUUUUUACGGAUCUGGAUUUUCUAAAAGUUAUAUUUUGGGUAUUCUAAAAUUUAUCAUAACAAUGGGUGUUAUUGGAAAUGUUUUUUUUUAUUUCAUUAACAAUUAUUACCAAUUUGGUUAGGUCGUGUAAUUUUCCUAUUUUCUUAUUUGGUUAAAUAAAUUCAAUUUUCUUUUUGAAUUUUGACCUCA